GAAGAAGAGUAGAGGAAGACAACGCUACGACUUUCUAUUUCUCUAUUCUACCCCCACUCUCGUGCCUUUUAGCUUCUGUGCCUGUUUGCUCGAGUUGAACGAGCCUAACGAGGAACGAUAAGAAAAACGUCCGAGCUUUUACAAGAUAAUCUAGAAUAAACGUUGUGCUAUAUUCGAGAGGAUCUUAUCGUACGAUCAUCCUACUUUAUGCACGAGAUAUAUGUACGUAUCUAUGUAUAUCUUCUUUAACCAUGUGACUUCACUCCCACAGGUAUAUCAAAGUAGAGUAAGGAAAGAUUUAGAAAAGAAGAACAAAAAAGAAAAGAAGGAACUUUUGUACGUCGAACAUAGUUACGAUGCCUAUAUUAUAUUCGCAAUAUUACGAUUAAUACUGUAUCUAUAUACGUACGUAUGUAUGUGCGAUAUAAUUGGAUAAAGUAAUUGAAAAAAAUGUCCAAAUGCUUGGCAACACGAAAAAAAAAGGAAUACAUACAUAUGUGAUUACACGUUUUAUCUGAAAACGAGAUUAAAUACGUAAGAUUGAAUCGUUGCAGUGGACGUUUCGAAACUGGGAGAAUGUGUCGUUUAACAGAUACCUACGUCGUCGGUCCAACAACACGCGGCGUACACGAUCGACGGACUUUUGUUCAACUGGAGAAGCGUCAGCAACAGCAGCAGCAGCAGCAGCAGCAGCACUAACACCAGCACUAGUAGUAACGAGAACAAGGAUGACGACGCUGACGUCGACGUCGACGUCGACGUCGACGUCGACUACGACGACGACGACGACGACGACGACGACGUCAACGACGACAACAACGAUAACGUCGGUGUCUCUGACUGCACUCUCUGCAAUGUCUGCUGCUGCUGCUGCUGCUGCUGCUAUCAGUGAUGGUGGUGGUAGUAUUAACGAUGGUGUUGGUGUUGGUGUUGGUGUUGGUGUUGGCUUGGUUUGGUGUUGGAGUUGCUGCUGGUGCAGUAGUAGCUCUCACGGAACAGACGAAUAUAGUUGGACCGGUGCAAACAUUACCGUGUCGAAGUUAACCGUGUAAACGCAUCUGCUUUGUACUUGCGGUAUGCCUAGUCGAGAGCCAACCGCCGAUUAUAUCGUCUCUUCUGUUGAAAUUCGUGGAUUCUUGGCUGAAAUGCCAUGUGCCGCGAAACUCUCGCCCGGAAUCGUACGAUAGAAACAAAGUUUACACCUUCGCGGACCGUUAAAAUGGAUUCAACCCUGGUAACGUACGUACGAAACAAUCGAAACGGAAGUGUUUCGUUACAAAUGGUACGAGAAGAAUAUAAUGUAAUAUGAUUACUCUGUGUACGUGUGUAUGAGAAAGAGAAAGAAAGACAUAGAUAUAGAGAAAGAGAACAAAGAGAGGAAGAGACAUAAAGAUGUCCGAUCCAAAAACGAAACGUCUCAUUACAUUCGGUCACUUUUAUCGAAAAGAAGAAAAAAAAGAGCAAAGAAAAGAAGAAACAAGAACGAAAAAAAAAAAUUGUCUUGCGAUAGAACUCGUGGGAAGCCGAUAGAAGGGAACAACGCCCUCGACCAUGCCACCUGCACUACAUCGAGGCAUUCGUCCGUUGGCAAACAACGUAACAGAUAAAAGUAGUUGAAGCUGGAAUAGAUAUUUCCAGCUGUUCCGGACAAGUUCCUGACUAAUUCAAGAAUAAAGAUCUUAUUUGGCAACGAUAGAUAUCGUUCUCACGGCUGACGCAGCAUCCAUCUAACGAUAAAUAGAUUUCUACGAUCAAGAGAAACGAGACAACGUGAGCGAAAUCGUUUGGCGGUUAUUAAUUCGUUCCUAUUCUACGACCAUAAGCGCGUUACGAGCCAAGUUUCCGCGGUCUCGCCGUGCGACUCGUAACUCAUGCAACGGCAAACUUAAGACGUGCGACAGACGCCUUGAUAUCUCGAGUUAUAUUCAGUAAUUACAGAAGGAGAAAGAGAGA